rnacentral:rRNA from 1 species
GAUGAACGCUGGCGGCGUGCCUAAUACAUGCAAGUCGAGCGAACAGACGAGGAGCUUGCUCCUCUGACGUUAGCGGCGGACGGGUGAGUAACACGUGGAUAACCUACCUAUAAGACUGGGAUAACUUCGGGAAACCGGAGCUAAUACCGGAUAAUAUAUUGAACCGCAUGGUUCAAUAGUGAAAGACGGUUUUGCUGUCACUUAUAGAUGGAUCCGCGCCGCAUUAGCUAGUUGUUAAGGUAACGGCUUACCAAGGCAACGAUGCGUAGCCGACCUGAGAGGGUGAUCGGCCACACUGGAAGUGAGACACGGUCCAGACUCCUACGGGAGGCAGCAGUAGGGAAUCUUACGCAAUGGGCGAAAGCUUGACAGAGCAACGCCGCGUGAGUGAUGAAGGUCUUCGGAUCGUAAAACUCUGUUAUUAGGGAAGAACAAAUGUGUAAGUAACUAUGCACGUCUUGACGGUACCUAAUCAGAAAGCCACGGCUAACUACGUG